AGGACUUGUCCACUGGCAAGGGCUCCUACUGGUUGUGUCACUCUUAACCUUCUGGAGCCCACCCACCACAGCCACAAUCAAAGUUUUGUCAAACUUUGCUACCGAAGGGGAAGAUGCGGUUCUGCAGAUCUGGGAUAUGCCUGGUGGGGUUGUAGCAAUUGUGUGGUACAAGGGGGAAGGCACGGACCAAAAUAAUACAAUUGCGUUUUAUAGUAUGAAAUCACGUCUCCAUUUAUGUGGUCCUGAAUCCAAUGGAAAAGAGGAGAUAACCUAUGAUGGAUCCUUGGUAUUGAAAAAUGUCUCCAAGGAGCAUGAAGGAAUGUAUACUGCAGUGGCCCACCUUCGAAAUUCAAAAACAGAAACAGCACUGGGGCAACUUGAUAUAUAUGAGAGAGAAGAAUGGAGUGAGCUAAUGGAACUUUUUGAAAAAAUAUUGAGAUGUAAAGAAGGACAGCUGGAUGAUUGCACUCCAUAAGCGCCCUGACUGGAGAUUGAGCCUGCAACCUAGGAAUCUGUAGAAAGACAGGAGAAAAACAAAGGAGAAAAACAAAGUUCUUCCAGAACCACAGAAACCUCACCAUAGACGCCAUGAGGAAAGAGGAUGCUGGGGAUGACCAGUGUGAAGUCUCCAACCCAUCAGUUCUACUGAAAGUGUGCCCCCUGGAGAUGGAUGUGAAAUAUGAGUGAGCCUGUUCUCCUCUUCUAUGUUAUCAAACUCUGAUCAA